rnacentral:rRNA from 1 species
UACGGGGGGGGUAAGCGUUGUUCGGAAUUACUGGGCGUAAAGGGCUCGUAGGCGGCCAACUAAGUCAGACGUGAAAUCCCUCAGCUUAACUGGGGAACUGCGUCUGAUACUGGAUGGCUUGAGUUUGGGAGAGGGAUGCGGAAUUCCAGGUGUAGCGGUGAAAUGCGUAGAUAUCUGGAGGAACACCUGUGGCGAAAGCGGCGCACUGGACCACAACUGACGCUGAGGCGCGAAAGCUAGGGGAGCAAACAGG